rnacentral:lncRNA from 1 species
AUAAAUUUGGUGGCAAAUGGUCCCUGAAAGGUAUUCAUUUGAUCACAUCCUUUUUUACAGGAUUCUUACACCACUUAGCAAAGCUGGUAAAGUUAUUUUUUAGCCAUCAGAGAACAGGAAGGAGAGAAAUCUGCUAAGCAACCUCUGCUAUGCUGCAUGCCAGGCUACAAAAUAGCUGUUCAUUAGGGGCCAUGGAGAACACUUAAAUUGCAGAUUUUCUAAUAGGCUUUCAAUGGAGGAAAAUUGUUGUGGGUGUUCCUUUGAAGGUGUCUUUCUCUAGACCAAAUCUUUCCGUGUUUAUUCAUAUGUAUCUCAGAGAGGUUGACGUAUCAGAAAUGGCUUCGUUUAAGAGGGAAGACACAUCCUAUGGGAAGAGGGUCUGCACUGGAGUGAAAGAUGAAAACCCAAGACUGAAACCCAAUAAAUGAAAAUUUCUCUUGUAGCUCUCAGAGAGAAAAAUAUAGAGCACCAUCACUGCCAGCACGUGGAAUACAACCUGUCCCACACCAUUUAUUGGGAAAUCCCCACAGGAAAGGCUCAACAAACACGUCUCUGUUGUCAGUCAUGAGGAAUCCUGAUGAGAAUUGUCCAAGUGUAAAGACAAAACGAAGGAAGGAAGAUGUAAGUCAGUCUUUAGGUCUGAAACCAU